rnacentral:lncRNA from 1 species
GAGCAUGUUAGGAGCAAUCGUCUCCUUCAGAUUUUUGUCUCAACUGGGGCUUAAAUUAAUUGGUCGCGUACGCUGGGCAGCGAGUCUCAUGAGGAACCAUUUGCGGGAAAUACGCUUUUGCACGAUUUCACCUGUCCUUUAACUGAAAGAAAGUAUACUAAACUAAUCAAACUUGAAAAAUAAUAAUCUGAAGAAGAAAGAGAGCUUGUCAUGUCUUGGUCAAUAAUCUACGUGCUUUCAUUUUACACAGCCUCUUCGACCUUGUGAGUUGUGAAUCCCACGUGUGGGUUUUUAUUUGUUUAUGUUUUUUCUUUCAAUCUUCAGAUAUUUGUUUUUUUUUCAACUGGCUUUUUUUGGAACACACAUGACAGAAGAUCAGGGGAUAUUAUGUAGAGAAUUUGUACUCCCUACACACCAAAUAUUCCCUAUUUGCAUUCCAUACACUAUAUCCCUCCAAUUUUUUUCCCCCCAUCAUUACCAUUUUCCCCCUAUUCUAUGGUAUCUCACCCUUUUUGGUAUAUUCAGCAAAUUAGCUCUAUUAUGUAAUAGAUUUUUCUCCUUUUUAAUACUUUGAUAUCUGUAUGGUAGUGUAUAUUGUCAUGUAUGAAUUUAAUUCUUGUAUGUUGUGCAAUAAUUCUGGCCCAAACAUGAUGUUGGACUGAUAGCGAUAUUAUUCACCUUAUUUCAUUCUUUUAAAAUCAUUUAUCCAUUUAGAUAUUUCAAUACAAAAUCUAAUAUUAUAGAAAAUAUAUAUAUAUAUAUAUAUAUAUAUAUAUAUAUAAAACAUAAUGUUAGAAUGUUAUAUUUAUAAAAUAUAGUAGAUAUUUUAUCAUCUGACAUUUGCAAAAAGUAAAAUCACAAGAAGAAUAGGAAAAAAAAAAGAGAAGAAGAGGAAUUACAUGUCAGCGUUUGUCAAUUGUCAUUGAGCUUUCUAGUGAGACAAGAACGAAUCAACAAGACCGAGUCCCUUUAUUACCCUCUCUCUUCAUUACGCGCCAACGAAGACUUAGCUGUUUUCUUCCCACAUGUACAGUGCACUGACUUAGUCUCCCGUAACAGCUCCCAUCUCUUGAAUUUUUCUCCACGUGGCAGCCACUAGUAUCUCAUUCUCGACAUCAAAUAUCACAAUCCCGUGACUGUAAGGUUCCCGCAACUGAGACUUCUUUUACAGUGCCCAUUACAAGAUAUGGAAGCUUGUAGAUUUGUUUACCCCCCCCCCCCCCCCCCUCUCUACGUGUACAUUGCGUGUUCCGUGACGAGUAAACAAAAAGAGAAACACGAGAUUAAAAGGAAUGAGAACACACAAAAAUCAAAUAGUAGCUUUUCUUUUCUUAUAUAUAUUUAAAAAGUGAAAUU